rnacentral:rRNA from 1 species
GAUGAACGCUAGCUAUAGGCUUAACACAUUCAUGUCGCGGGACCGGCGCACGGGUGAGUCACGCGUCUCCAACCUGCCCAUAACUAAGGGAUAACCCCUCGCAUGUUGGACUAAUACCUUAUGGUUAUUGAUGCGGAUGCGUCUGAUUAGCUUGUUGGCGGGGUAACGGCCCACCAAGGGAACGAUCAGUAGGGGUUCUGAGAGGAAGUGCCCCCACAUUGGAACUGAGACACGGUCCAAACUCCUAAGGGAGGCAGCAGUGAGGAAUAUUGGUCAAUGGACGCAAGUCUGAACCAGCCAAGUAGCGUGCAGGAUGACGGCCUAUGGGUUGUAAACUGCUUUUAUAUGGGGAUAGGUACCUUAUGAAUAAGGACCGGCUAAUUCCGUGCCAGCAGCCGCGGUAAUAC